rnacentral:rRNA from 1 species
CUACGGGGUGCAGCAGUGAGGAAUAUUGGUCAAUGGGCGCAAGCCUGAACCAGCCACUCCGCGUGUAGGAUGACUGCCCUAUGGGUUGUAAACUACUUUUAUACAGGAAGAAACCUCCAUACGUGUAUGGAGCUGACUGUACUGUAAGAAUAAGCAUCGGCUAACUCCGUGCCAGCAGCCGCGGUAAUACGGAGGAUGCAAGCGUUAUCCGGAUUUAUUAGGUCUAAAGGGUGCGUAGGCGGAUAUUUAAGUCAGUGGUGAAAUCCUACAGCUUAACUGUAGAACUGCCAUUGAUACUGGAUGUCUUGAGUUUAGUUGAGGUAGGCGGAAUGUGUAGUGUAGCGGUGAAAUGCUUAGAUAUUACACAGAACACCGAUUGCGAAGGCAGCUUACUAAGCUAACACUGACGCUGAGGCACGAAAGCGUGGGGAGCGAACAGGAUUAGAUACCCGCGUAGUC